rnacentral:rRNA from 1 species
ACAUGGRAGUCGAGCGGAUUGRUGGGRGCUUGCUCCCUKAUAUCAGCGGCGGACGGGUGAGUAACACGUGGGUAACCUGCCUGUAAGACUGGGAUAACUYCGGGAAACCGGGGCUAAUWCCGGAUWACUCAUUUCCUCGCAUGAGGAAAUGUUGAAAGGUKGCUUUUWGCUAUCACUUACAGAUGGACCCGCGGCGCAUUAGCUAGUUGGUGAGGUAACGGCUCACCAAGGCAACGAUGCGUAGCCGACCUGAGAGGGUGAUCGGCCACACUGGGACUGAGACACGGCCCAGACUCUACGGGAGGCAGCAGUAGGGAAUCUUCCGCAAUGGACGAAAGUCUGACGGAGCAACGCCGCGUGAGUGAUGAAGGUUUUCGGAUCGUAAAGCUCUGUUGUUAGGGAAGAACAAGUGCCGUUCGAAUAGGGCGGCACCUUGACGGUACCUAACCAGAAAGCCACGGCUAAUACGUGCCAGCAGCCGCGGUAAUACGUAGGUGGCAAGCGUUGUCCGGAAUUAUUGGGCGUAAAGCGCGCGCAGGUGGUUCCUUAAGUCUGAUGUGAAAGCCCACGGCUCAACCGUGGAGGGUCAUUGGAAACUGGGGAACUUGAGUGCAGAAGAGGAAAGUGGAAUUCCAAGUGUAGCGUGAAAUGCGUAGAUAUUUGGAGGAACACCAGUGGCGAAGGC